rnacentral:rRNA from 1 species
GAUGAACGCUGGCGGCGUGCCUAAUACAUGCAAGUCGAGCGAAUGGAUUAAGAGCUUGCUCUUAUGAAGUUAGCGGCGGACGGGUGAGUAACACGUGGGUAACCUGCCCAUAAGACUGGGAUAACUCCGGGAAACCGGGGCUAAUACCGGAUAACAUUUUGAACCGCAUGGUUCGAAAUUGAAAGGCGGCUUCGGCUGUCACUUAUGGAUGGACCCGCGUCGCAUUAGCUAGUUGGUGAGGUAACGGCUCACCAAGGCAACGAUGUGUAGCCGACCUGAGAGGGUGAUCGGCCACACUGGGACUGAGACACGGCCCAGACUCCUACGGGAGGCAGCAGUAGGGAAUCUUCCGCAUGGACGAAAGUCUGACGGAGCAACGCCGCGUGAGUGAUGAAGGCUUUCGGGUCGUAAAACUCUGUUGUUAGGGAAGAACAAGUGCUAGUUGAAUAAGCUGGCACCUUGACGGUACCUAACCAGAAAGCCACGGCUAACUACGUGCCAGCCGCCGCCGUAA